rnacentral:rRNA from 1 species
AGAGUUUGAUCCUGGCUCAGGAUGAACGCUAGCGACAGGCUUAACACAUGCAAGUCGAGGGGCAGCAUGAUUUGUAGCAAUACGGAUUGAUGGCGACCGGCGCACGGGUGAGUAACGCGUAUGCAACUUACCUAUCAGAGGGGGAUAGCCCGGCGAAAGUCGGAUUAAUACCCCAUAAAGCAGGGGUCCCGCAUGGGAAUAUUUGUUAAAGAUUCAUCGCUGAUAGAUAGGCAUGCGUUCCAUUAGGCAGUUGGCGGGGUAACGGCCCACCAAACCGACGAUGGAUAGGGGUUCUGAGAGGAAGGUCCCCCACAUUGGUACUGAGACACGGACCAAACUCCUACGGGAGGCAGCAGUGAGGAAUAUUGGUCAAUGGCCGAGAGGCUGAACCAGCCAAGUCGCGUGAAGGAAGAAGGAUCUAUGGUUUGUAAACUUCUUUUAUAGGGGAAUAAAGUGGAGGACGUGUCCUUUUUUGUAUGUACCCUAUGAAUAAGCAUCGGCUAACUCCGUGCCAGCAGCCGCGGUAAUACGGAGGAUGCGAGCGUUAUCCGGAUUUAUUGGGUUUAAAGGGUGCGUAGGUGGUGAUUUAAGUCAGCGGUGAAAGUUUGUGGCUCAACCAUAAAAUUGCCGCUGAAACUGGGUUACUUGAGUGUGUUUGAGGUAGGCGGAAUGCGUGGUGUAGCGGUGAAAUGCAUAGAUAUCACGCAGAACUCCGAUUGCGAAGGCAGCUUACUAAACCAUAACUGACACUGAAGCACGAAAGCGUGGGGAUCAAACAGGAUUAGAUACCCUGGUAGUCCACGCAGUAAACGAUGAUUACUAGGAGUUUGCGAUACAAUGUAAGCUCUACAGCGAAAGCGUUAAGUAAUCCACCUGGGGAGUACGCCGGCAACGGUGAAACUCAAAGGAAUUGACGGGGGCCCGCACAAGCGGAGGAACAUGUGGUUUAAUUCGAUGAUACGCGAGGAACCUUACCCGGGUUUGAACGUAGUCUGACCGGAGUGGAAACACUCUUUCUAGCAAUAGCAGAUUACGAGGUGCUGCAUGGUUGUCGUCAGCUCGUGCCGUGAGGUGUCGGCUUAAGUGCCAUAACGAGCGCAACCCUUAUCACUAGUUACUAACAGGUGAAGCUGAGGACUCUGGUGAGACUGCCAGCGUAAGCUGUGAGGAAGGUGGGGAUGACGUCAAAUCAGCACGGCCCUUACAUCCGGGGCGACACACGUGUUACAAUGGCAUGGACAAAGGGCAGCUACCUGGUGACAGGAUGCUAAUCUCCAAACCAUGUCUCAGUUCGGAUCGGAGUCUGCAACUCGACUCCAUGAAGCUGGAUUCGCUAGUAAUCGCGCAUCAGCCAUGGCGCGGUGAAUACGUUCCCGGGCCUUGUACACACCGCCCGUCAAGCCAUGGGAGCCGGGGGUACCUGAAGUCCGUAACCGCAAGGAUCGGCCUAGGGUAAAACUGGUGACUGGGGCUAAGUCGUAACAAGGUA